AUGGACGCCAAACUGAUGGUGUCCACAGACCCUGGCGAUGUCAAGAAGUUGAAGGAUGUCCUCAAAAAGGAGGAUGCCUUGGCGGUGGUCGUGGGGACGGCGACGAGCGAGAAGCCUUCCGAGGAGGACAAGUCCCCAGCUGCUGGAGCACUCCUCAAGGGCGUCACCCCUGAAGGGGAUACCGCACUACAUGCGGUGACCAGCACUGAUGGGGAGGGCCAGGAAUUCUUGACCUAUGCCGGCAUCAUCUACCGCAGGGACAAGAGCCUCCUGUUCGCCAAGAAUCACAAGGGUGAUACACCGUUACACUGUGCUGCCCGAGCUGGGAAACCCAAAAUGGUUGCGUAUCUCAUUGAUCUAGCAGCACGCGAGGGUGCCGACUCGAUGCUCAGGCUGUUGAGAAUGGAAAAUAAGCGUCACGAGACGGCACUGCAUGAAGCUGUCCGAAUUGACAAGGGUAGAAAUCUUGGUCGUAAGGAGAGAGCAUCGCUUUAUCCCGCUGAACCCGCUGGAGAAGAAGAGAAGGAUGAUGCAGACGGCGCACCAGAAGAAAAGAAUAUAGUAAAGGUGCUAAUGGGUGCUGAUCCCGAAUUGGCUAAUUAUCCUGCAGACGGCCUUUCACCCCUGUACCUGGCCAUCUUGCUAGACAAAAGCACCAUUGCACUUGCUUUAUAUGCGCUGAGUGGUGGCAAUCUGUCGUAUUCCGGAGCAGAUGGACAAAAUGCCUUGCACAUUGCUGUUCUUCGAGACAAAGACACAGGUACCCACUAA
rnacentral:rRNA from 1 species